AUGGUGGUGGAUGAGGAGAAGAGAAGAUGUAGAAAACUGAAUCCCACAAGUCGAGUUCAAGCCUAUCAGCAGAUGUCACUUUGGUGGAGCGACGACACCCAUGGAUGGUGGCUAACUACAUUCCUCCCGGCCUGCGUGCCUGAUGGGAGGCAGUUCCAGCGACGGUUCAAAGGCCAUGGUGAGCAGGUGAUGCUUCCAUGGCGAUUCGGCACGCCAAGUGGUUCAUCCCCGGCGGUGGCGAGGUUCAAUCUAGCCGGCGGCUGUCAAGGACCCAAUCAUGUUUCUUGCUUUCAGCCUGGGGCCCUCCUUGUAAAAGCCAGGGACUUAGUUGUAAUGCUCCUUUUUAUUUGGAUCCUUCUGUAA
rnacentral:rRNA from 1 species